GGGCUGUUAGCUCAAUGGUAGAGCAACCGGCUCUUAACCGGUAGGUUACAGGUUCGAGCCCUGUACAGCCCA
rnacentral:tRNA from 2 species